rnacentral:rRNA from 1 species
ACGGCUAACUACGUGCCAGCAGCCGCGGUAAUACGUAGGUCCCGAGCGUUAUCCGGAAUUAUUGGGCGUAAAGGGGCACGUAGGCGGACAAAUAAGUUUGAUGUCAAAUAUGAUGGCUCAACCAUCAAGAGGCGUUGAAAACUGUUUAUCUAGAAUCUCGGAGAGGUAAGUGGAAUUCCAUGUGUAGCGGUGGAAUGCGUAGAUAUAUGGAGGAACACCAAUGGCGAAGGCAGCUUACUGGACGAAGAUUGACGCUGAGGUGCGAAAGCGUGGGUAGCAAACAGGAUUAGAUACCCUGGUAG